rnacentral:piRNA from 1 species
UGGCCCAUUACUCUGAUUCCAGUGUUUUGC